ACAGGAAAGGGGUUUUGUUCCGUUCCAGUUUGGUGCUGUAUAUGCUGACUGUACAAUUAGCCACGCAGACUGAGCCCAUUCCAGACAGUUCACUUACAAAGCUAUUCCAGCUAUUUCGAAGCUUUUCCCGUCUUAUUUCUGAGCACCAUUCUGUGAGCUCCUCCCUUUCCGAUGCCUUCGCUGCGUUGGAGGGAAAGAAAACACACGUUUAUUUAUUUGGCAUCUUUCAUGAUGUCAGGACAUUCCAGAGCGUUUGCAGCCCAAUGAAGUACCAUUGAACUGUAGCCACUUUUGCAAAUGUACAAAAUACUGUAACCAAUUUGCAUACAGCAAGACCCUGUCCACAAUGUAAUAAAAAUAAGACAAUCUG